rnacentral:rRNA from 1 species
CGUCUCAGUUCGGAUUGUAGUCUGCAACUCGACUACAUGAAGCUGGAAUCGCUAGUAAUCGCGGAUCAGAAUGCCGCGGUGAAUACGUUCCCGGGUCUUGUACACACCGCCCGUCACACCAUGGGAGUCGGAAAUGCCCGAAGUCUGUGACCGAACCGAAAGGAAGGAGCAGCCGAAGGCAGGUCGGAUGACUGGGGUGAAGUCGUAACAAGGUAUC